rnacentral:rRNA from 1 species
CCUACGGGAGGCAGCAGUGAGGAAUAUUGGUCAAUGGUCGGGAGACUGAACCAGCCAAGCCGCGUGAGGGAUGAAGGUACAGAGUAUCGUAAACCUCUUUUGUCAGGGAACAAAGGCGGGGACGUGUCCCCGGAUGAGUGUACCUGAAGAAAAAGCAUCGGCUAACUCCGUGCCAGCAGCCGCGGUAAUACGGAGAAUGCGAGCGGUAUCCGGAUUUAUUGGGUUUAAAGGGUGCGCGGGCGGUCUGUUAAGUCAGCGGGCAAAGCCCGGGGCUCAACCCCGGCCCGCCGUUGAAACUGGCAGUCUCGAGUUGGAGAGAAGUAUGCGGAAUGCGCGGUGUAGCGGUGAAAUGCAUAGAUAUCGCGCAGAACUCCGAUUGCGAAGGCAGCAUGCCGGCUCCACACUGACGCUGAGGCACGAAAGCGUGGGUAUCGAACAGGAUUAGAUACCCGUGUAGUC